rnacentral:antisense_RNA from 1 species
UGUGGGAGCGGGCUUGCUCGCGAAGGCGUCGUGUCAGUCAGCAAUUCUGUGUCUGAUACACCGCUUUCGCGAGCAAGCCCGCUCCCACA